AGAGCUUGAUCCUGGCUCAGAACGAACGCUGGCCGCAGGCCUAACACAUGCAAGUCGAGCGAACGUCCCGCGAAGGACGGAAGCGGCGCACGGGUGAGUAACACGUAAGAACCUACCCCGCUCAACGGCACAACGCAGGGAAACCUGCGCUAAUUCCGUAUGACUCCUGUACCAGGUAAAGAACCCUUCGGAGCGGGAUGAGCUUGCGCUAGAUUAGCUCGUUGGCGGGGCAAAUGCCCACCAAGGCAACGAUCUAUAGCUGGUCUGGGAGGACGGACAGCCACACUGGGACUGGAACAAGGCCCAGACUCCCGCGGGAGUCAGCAGUGAGGAAUCUUGGACAAUGGGCGAAAGCCUGAUCCAGCUAUGCCGCGUGAGCGAUUAGAAGUUACCAAACUUCUCAAAGUUCUAACUUGAACCGUAAACCUCUUUUGCCAAACGAAAAUGAUGAUGUUAGUUUGCGCGAAUAAGCUCCGGCCAACUUCGUGCCAGCAGCCGCGGUAACACGAGGGGAGCAAGCGUUGUUCGGUUUGAUUGGGCGUAAAGCGCGCGUAGGCGGCUGCGCAAGUCGAUAAACAACGGCAGAGGCGAAGCCAUUUCUGUCUAGAUGUGCGUUGCUUCCGGCGGUAAAACCUAUCCCCAAACCAACAACGCACAUCCACCCAUAAAUCCUUCCCUUUAAGCCGAAGCCAAACGAUGGAGCUCAACUCCAUUCCGCUUCCGAUACUACGCGGCUUGAGGUCGGUGGAGGCGAACGGAACUCCAAGUGUAGAGGUGAAAUUCGUUGAUAUUUGGAGGAACACCAGAGGCGGAAGCGGUCCGCCAUGCCGAUUCUGACGCUAAUGCGCUAAAGCGUGGGGAGCAAACAGGAUUAGAUACCCUGGUAGUCCACGCCCUGAACGAUGAGUGCUAACAGCUGGAAACGUUUUGUUGCGUACUCCGAUUGUAAAGCUAACGCGUUAAGCACUCCGCCUGGGGAGUACGGCCGCAAGGUUGAAACUCAAAGGAACUGACGAGGACCCGCACAAGCGGUGGAGCAUGUGGUUUAAUUCGAAGCUGCACGCAAAACCUUACCAGCCUUUGACAUUGUAGGUCGGUUGCGCGCCGAAACGUGCGCACCCAAUGACCUUGCAACAGGUGCUGCAUGGCUGCCGUCAGCUCGUGUCGUGAGACGUACGGUUAAGUCCUAUAACGAGCGCAACCCUCGUCCGUAGUUGCUUCCAAGCGAAAGCUAGCUCUCUACGG
rnacentral:rRNA from 1 species